rnacentral:rRNA from 1 species
UACGUAGGCAGCGAGCGUUGUUCGGAGUUACUGGGCGUAAAGCGUGCGUAGGCGGUGUCUUAAGUUUGUUGUGAAAUCUCCCGGCUUAACCGGGAGGGUGCGGCGAAUACUGAGAUGCUGGAGUGCCGGAGAGGUAAGCGGAAUUCCUGGUGUAGCGGUGAAAUGCGCAGAUAUCAGGAGGAACACCAAUGGCGAAGGCAGCACUCUGGGACGUGACUGACGCUGAGACGCGAAAGCGUGGGGAGCGAACAGG